AUACGUAGGGGGCGAGCGUUGUCCGGAAUGAUUGGGCGUAAAGGGCGCGUAGGCGGCCCGGUAAGUCUGGAGUGAAAGUCCUGUUUUUAAGAUGGGAAUUGCUUUGGAUACUGUCGGGCUUGAGUGCAGGAGAGGUAAGUGGAAUUCCCAGUGUAGCGGUGAAAUGCGUAGAGAUUGGGAGGAACACCAGUGGCGAAGGAGACUUACUGGACUGUAACUGACGCUGAGGCGCGAAAGUGUGGGGAGCAAACAGGAUUAGAUACCCUGGUAGUCCACACUGUAAACGAUGAAUGCUAGGUGUAGGGGGUAUCGACCCCUUCUGUGCCGCAGUCAACACAAUAAGCAUUCCGCCUGGGGAGUACGGCCGCAAGGUUGAAACUCAAAGGAAUUGACGGGG
rnacentral:rRNA from 1 species